UAUUCGUUGAUGUAAAGAGCAUAAAAAGUUUUGAUCUUUUAAGGAAUGGUGCGAUUCCAUUACGUAUAA
rnacentral:tRNA from 1 species